UACGGUAUUCGACGAUAUUAAGUCAAUGAGCUUGGUGAAGUGAUACGAAACACAUCGUAAUGGCACUUGUAAUCCAGUAUAUACGGGGUGCAGCACACCCAACUGCACAAACCGCACGGAAGGCGGCAAAGCUUUUUAUGCGGUGCCGUGCGGACGGACAGACGUGCGCCGUCGGCUGAUAUGUGGUUAUGGGCCGAGACUGAACGGCACCCAAUAGGACCAGGAUAUGCGAGUUGCUUUGAAUUCUGCCCCCAAGGCUCCACGAACCAGCACUCUUACCCUGCUGCCAGCAGCCAUUGGUCAUCCAUUCUCUUGUACGAAAUAAAUUUGAUGUAGAAGCUUCUG